rnacentral:lncRNA from 1 species
CUCUUCCAGCUGCCACCCUAUGGAGUGGAAUGAAGAGACGACAAUGGAGUCAAAGAAAGAGAUGAGAAACAGCUGGCACCAGGUGGGGUGACAAAUUCAGAAAAUACUGUUUCCUCCACAAUUCAUGCAAAAAAGAGAAAUACCGGGAGUCUGCAAAAAGUUCAUGGAAAAUGUGUAUUAUGAAAAAACUAUACAUGGAUUUCAAAAAUUUUUCUGCACCAAAAUAAACUCAUACUAACUUAUUAUAACAUGUCUGAACAGUAUCUAGCUUGAGGCAAUAAGAAGGAUAACACAUCAGUUUGAAAAGAGCCCGUAUCAGAGCAACAUGAAUUAUGAUAAAAUUGAAGCAAGCAAUAAUACUGAAUUUAUGAUGAAGCUUGGGUGGAAGAAUGGUGAAGUCAUUAAUGCUUUACAAAACAUUUGUGAGGACAAUGCCCAAAGAAAUCAGCAGUUUACAGAUAGAUAGAUAACUCUUUUUAAGAAGAAACAAGAUGAUAUUCAAGAUGAAGACCACAGCAGAGAUCAUCCACAUCAAUUUGCAAGGAAAAAAUUCAACUUGUUUGUGCCCUAACUGAAAAGGACAGAAGAUUAACAGCACACAAAAUAACCAACACCAUAGACAUCUUAAUUGAUUCAGCAUAUAUAAUUCUGACUGGAAAAUUAAAGCUCAUCAAACGUUCCAUUUGAUGGGUACCAAAACCAUUGCACCCAGAUCAGCUGCAGACAAGAGUAGAACUUCCAUGGAAACUAAGUAAGUGGGAUCAAAAUCCUGAAGCAUUUAUCUGACGAAUUGUAACAGUAGAUGAAACAUGGCUUUAUCAGUAUGAUCCUGAAGACGAAGCAUAACCAAAGUAAUGGCUACCAAGAUGUGGAAGUGGUCCAGUCAAAGCAAAAGUGGACCAUUCAAGAGCAACGGUCAUGGCAACAGUUUUCGGGAAUGCUCAAGGCAUUUUGCUUGUUGGCUUUCUGGAGAGCCAGAGAGUAAUAAAAUCUGCUUAUUAUGAAAGUAUUUUGAGAAAGUCAAAGCAUUAGCAGAAAAAUGCCAUGGAAAGCUUCAACCAGAGAGUCCUUCUCCACCAGGACAAUGCUCCUGCUCAUUCCUUUCACACAACAAUGGCAAUUUUGCAAGAGUUUCAAUGAGAUUAGGCAUUCAUCUUACUGUCUUGAUUUGGCUCUUCCUGACUUCCUUUUAUCUUCUAAUUUUAAAAAAAUCUUUAAAGGGUAGCCAUUUUUCUUCAGUUAAUAAUGUAAAAAAGACUGCAAUGACAUGGUUAAGUUCCCAGGACCCUCAGUUCUUUAGGGAUGGACUAACUAAAUGGCUGGUAUCAUGGCUUACAAAAGUGUCUUGACCUUGAUGGAGCCUAUAUUGAGAAAUAAAGAUUAUGUUUUUCAUGUUAUCUUUUAAUGUCAUUUUUUCACAAACUUUUAGAAGUCUCCUUGUAUUGUUUGUCACCAUGACAUAGAGAAGAUAUGAUCUUCUUUUUCUUUGUAUUAGAUUUCCUGGCAUAUCUGACCUUCAGUGUACCUUCAGUACAGGUGAUUGUAGA